rnacentral:ncRNA from 2 species
UACGAAGGGGGCUAGCGUUGCUCGGAAUCACUGGGCGUAAAGCGCACGUAGGCGGAUCUUUAAGUCGGGGGUGAAAUCCUGGAGCUCAACUCCAGAACUGCCUUCGAUACUGAGGGUCUCGAGUCCGGGAGAGGUGAGUGGAACUGCGAGUGUAGAGGUGAAAUUCGUAGAUAUUCGCAAGAACACCAGUGGCGAAGGCGGCUCACUGGCCCGGUACUGACGCUGAGGUGCGAAAGCGUGGGGAGCAAACAGG